GAGAGUUGCCUCGGCCUUUGGCCUUGUCAGGUUACACUGAGAAGACAGCUAUCUAUGAAUCAGGAAGCAGAGCUUCACCAGAGCACGAAGAAGAGAAAACAGAAAACAUCCAUUGAAUCCUCUGCCUCUGGUAAUGUAUGGCUCCCAGUAUGCCUCCUUCAAGAGCAUGACUGACCCAAUUACUAGUAUGAGCAAAAGGUAUCUAAAGUAAAUGGCCUUAUGUAUAAUCCUGAAUUAUAAGUCAUUGCAAAAGAAUCAGGCUUGUGGCUACUUCUCUGACAGAGCCAAACUCUCCAAUUCAAUUAUUCUGAGCAAAACAAACAAGGAGGGGGACCCUCUUACGGAUUAAAGACCUCUUUGUGAUAUGACUGGCCCAAUUCAAUUGCCUAAGCAUCACGUAGAAACAAUAGUUCAAUACUUCAAAGGAAAGUUUCAGAAAGGUGAUGAAAUUUAAGCUGGGCUUUAAAGGCUACAUCAAAUUUGACAAAUGGAAUUGUGAGGAAAGCACAUUAGAAGUAAAGAGUGAACCCACAAAAACAAGAGAACAUCAUGUUUCUAGAGGCUGCCUGCAUUCCUUGGCUAAUGACUUUGCAUCACUCUGACGUCUUGCUCCCAUGGUCGUAUCACCUACUACUGGCCCUGAUCUCACUACUUGUUAUAUGGAACAAAGGGAUAAGGAAGUGACUUGCCUAAGUCACUGAGGAACCUAAUAUUGAGAUUAGCACUCAAUGAUUCCUGGCUCUCAGAAUGUGUGCUGCUACCACCAGGCCACACUCUUCCCUCCAGAGAGAAGAUGUGUCAGCACGGAAUUGUGCUGAAGCAAAGAUGUGAAAUAGAAUGAUUACAUAUCUACCUAGUGGGAAGAUCUGGGGAAGAAUCUAUCAGUGCUGGCAGAGAAGCAAACCAUACGACAUCACUCAUCCCCAGAAAGUGAAGUUAAGGGAAAUAAAAAACAAUCUACACCAUUUAGAAAACACAGCCACCCCAUACCCUUGGAAAAAAUACACUAAAAUAUCUUCAUCUGAUUUGACCUCUAAUAACAUGAAUAAUUGUCUUAUAACUCACUUUCUUACCUCUUGAUUAUUCUACAGAUCCGGCACAUAUGAGCAAAAUCUGAUGAAAUUCACUCAUUUAAUUUGAAGAUUUUAAUUAUGUAGAAAAA
rnacentral:lncRNA from 1 species